UCUUCCAACCCCAUAUGUCUCCAGUUCUACCAUCACAUCAACAGGCAAUCGCUUUCCCCACUUCCUUCUAUUGUAUAGGGUGGAUCGAUCAUAAUUUGCCCCUUUGUAACAGGAGACUUGACAGAAAUUUUCUGAAAGGCUCAGUUCCGUCAAAUAUUAACAGCCUGACAAAUAUCAAUGAACUGUAAGAUAUCUAGUAACCAAUCAAAAUUUAACAAAAAGAAAAUCAGAUAUAGUUGCUAAACUGAAGAGCUUACUGUUUUUCCCUAUUGGCAUCUUUCAGCAAUUUAGCAAACAACCAGUUAAGCGGACCAAUGCCAAAUCUAACUGGGAUGAACUCCCUC
rnacentral:lncRNA from 1 species